rnacentral:rRNA from 1 species
AUUGAACGCUGGCGGCAGGCCUAACACAUGCAAGUCGAGCGGAUGAAGGGAGCUUGCUCCUGGAUUCAGCGGCGGACGGGUGAGUAAUGCCUAGGAAUCUGCCUGGUAGUGGGGGAUAACGUCCGGAAACGGGCGCUAAUACCGCAUACGUCCUGAGGGAGAAAGUGGGGGAUCUUCGGACCUCACGCUAUCAGAUGAGCCUAGGUCGGAUUAGCUAGUUGGUGGGGUAAAGGCCUACCAAGGCGACGAUCCGUAACUGGUCUGAGAGGAUGAUCAGUCACACUGGAACUGAGACACGGUCCAGACUCCUACGGGAGGCAGUAGUGGGGAAUAUUGGACAAUGGGCGAAAGCCUGAUCCAGCCAUGCCGCGUGUGUGAAGAAGGUCUUCGGAUUGUAAAGCACUUUAAGUUGGGAGGAAGGGCAGUAAGUUAAUACCUUGCUGUUUUGACGGUACCAACAGAAUAAGCACCGGCUAACUUCGUG